rnacentral:rRNA from 1 species
GUGGGGAAUUUUGGACAAUGGGCGCAAGCCUGAUCCAGCAAUGCCGCGUGCAGGAAGAAGGCCUUCGGGUUGUAAACUGCUUUUGUACGGAACGAAACGGUCCUGGCUAAUAUCCGGGGCUAAUGACGGUACCGUAAGAAUAAGCACCGGCUAACUACGUGCCAGCAGCCGCGGUAAUACGUAGGGUGCGAGCGUUAAUCGGAAUUACUGGGCGUAAAGCGUGCGCAGGCGGUGAUGUAAGACAGGCGUGAAAUCCCCGGGCUCAACAUGGGAAUUGCGCUUGUGACUGCAGUGCUGGAGUGCGGCAGAGGGGGAUGGAAUUCCGCGUGUAGCAGUGAAAUGCGUAGAUAUGCGGAGGAACACCGAUGGCGAAGGCAAUCCCCUGGGCCUGCACUGACGCUCAUGCACGAAAGCGUGGGGAGCAAACAGGAUUAGAUACCCUAGUAGUCC